rnacentral:rRNA from 1 species
GGCGAGUGAGCGGCAACAGCUCAAAUUUGAAAGCUAGCCUUCGGGUUCGCAUUGUAAUUUGUAGAGGAUGAUUUGGGGAAGCCGCCUGUCUAAGUUCCUUGGAACAGGACGUCAUAGAGGGUGAGAAUCCCGUAUGUGACAGGAAAUGGCACCCUAUGUAAAUCUCCUUCGACGAGUCGAGUUGUUUGGGAAUGCAGCUCUAAAUGGGAGGUAAAUUUCUUCUAAAGCUAAAUAUUGGCGAGAGACCGAUAGCGCACAAGUAGAGUGAUCGAAAGAUGAAAAGCACUUUGGAAAGAGAGUUAAAAAGCACGUGAAAUUGUUGAAAGGGAAGCGCUUGCAAUCAGACUUGUUUAAACUGUUCGGCCGGUCUUCUGACCGGUUUACUCAGUUUGGACAGGCCAGCAUCAGUUUCGGCGGCCGGAUAAAGGCUCUGGGAAUGUGGCCUCCACUUCGGUGGAGGUGUUAUAGCCCAGGGUGUAAUACGGCCAGCCGGGACUGAGGUCCGCGCUUCGGCUAGGAUGCUGGCGUAAUGGUUGUAAGCGACCCGUCUUGAAACAC